rnacentral:rRNA from 1 species
GUCUACAGCCAUGCCACCCUGAACAAGCCCGAUUCUGUCUGAUCUCAGAAGCUAAGCAGGAUUGGGCCUGGUUAGUACUUGGAUGGGAGACCACCUAGGAAGACUACGUGCUACUGUAGGCG